UUAACUUGAGCAUGCAUAGCGUGGGAUGUCAAUCUUAAUACGAAAUAUGUGUCUCCAAUAUUUGUGAUAAUUGAAAAAGUGACAAUAGUCUUACUUACCUUACAUGAUUACUGUAUAUGGUUUAUCUUCAACCAGCCAACAUUCCAAAAUGGAUGAAUUCUGUGCUGGUCUUGUCAGUGAAACAGUCAACAAGAAAAACAAGACUCAAGAGGGGAUGAAUGUUGUGUAUCUUACCAAAGAAGAGCAGCGCGAGGUUCUGUUUCGGCAGUACCAGCAUUGUGCUUGCAGGAUGUACCGGGAACCAUACAACCUGUCUGAAAGGUACUGUAAUCGUACCUGGGACAACAUAAUGUGUUGGGAUGACACACCGGCUGAUACUGUAACAUUCCAGCAGUGUCCCGAAUACAUCAACAGCUUUACCACAAACAAUUAUGCAUCCCGGACCUGUCUCCCUAACGGUACUUGGGCAAGUCAUCCAGGCGUGGCUGGCAGUGACCUGACCGGCUGGACCAACUACACAGCGUGCCAGACUAAUCAAACCGCCGAUGGUAGACUAGAGAACGACGACUCUUCUGAUGUCCCUAAUAUUUUCAUGGAGAAUUUCCAACAAUUGCAGCUGAUGUAUAACAUCGGGUACGCUAUCUCUCUCUCUUCACUCGUCGUCGCAUUCACUAUUAUGAUAUUCUUCAGGAAACUGCAUUGUUCCCGCAAUUCGAUACAUCUAAAUCUCUUCGCUUCAUUCAUCCUGCGGGCUGCUAUAAGCCUUAUUAAGGACAAUUUCAUGGUGAAAGGACUUGGAUUUCCUGGAGAUGUCGUGUACAACGACACUGGAGGACUCGUCGUGUUUACGGAUGGACCGCACUGGGAAUGUCGCCUCUUCUUCUCUGUGUUCCAAUACGCGGUGGCCUGCAGCUAUGUGUGGAUUUUCAUCGAGGCCAUAUACCUUCACAUGUUGAUAUUUGUCUCAGUAUUCACAGAAAAGGUUAAGGUCCGCUGGUUCAUCCUAUUCGGGUGGAUGUUCCCAGUCACCUUCAUUUUAGCAUGGUGCGUGUCUAGAUAUUCGCUGGACAACACAUUUUGCUGGAACAUGCACAGCAAUAAACCGGGGCUUGUGUGGAUAAUCAAAGGGCCCAUCAUGGUGACCGUCGUAUUAAACUUCAUUUCAUUCAUCAACAUCUUACGGGUUCUCUAUACAAAACUGGCCUCAAACUUGUGUCCAGAUUCAAACAAACAUAGACACCGGCGUCUGGCCAGAAGUACCCUGUUCUUGGUGCCGACAUUUGGGGUAUACUACAUCAUCUUUACUAUUCCGAUCCCAACCGUGAACGAGAAUGUCGAUUUCGUCAUGCUCUUCAUUGAAAUGUUCUUCAACUCCUUCCAGGGAUUCUUUAUUGCGUUGAUACUGUGCUUCAUCAACGCUGAGGUAAAACUGUCAUGGCACGAUCAAAUUGCGGAGAUUUGGAAUGCUGGACAACUAUUAUCCCGAAUCGUUAGUUUUUGCUGAAAUAUCAUUUAUCAUACACUGGAAGAAAUAAAAGUAUAUCGUUACAGCACAAUUUGACCAUAAUGAGCAGCGAGUUGUGUAUAUUUGUUUCUCGAAGGACAACUAACGUCGUAAAUAAUAUUACAAAAGCCACAUACCAUUCAUGACCAUUACUGCAUUGAUUCAGGUCCUCACAUAUCAAAGUUGUGAUACAAACCAUCAGUAUAACAACAGACUAUGGUAAUUGUAGGUGCGGAUACAGAUCAGACGUCAGUUGGUGGUGUGGGGCGUAUGUAGGUGUUGGGAUCGUCCCUUCCUUUCAACCAAGACAGACUACGUACGCUCGCAAUGUGGCAACUUCAGGGAUCCCAAAGAUGGAGAUGAGACAACGGAGCUGAA